UAUCUACAGAAGGGAAAAAAGCAUCAGCCACUACAAAACGUGUAUUUCAAAGAACGGGUACGUAGCUAAUAAGAUUAAUUACAUUUCAUUACUGAAGCAAAUCCUCUCAAAUAAAAAUAGCCAAAGGAGCUGGGAGUGAAAACUUCCAUGUUUAUACAUAUGUCCUGAAUCAUUUAAAGGUUCUCUUACCACACGGGCAUACUUCACAUGGCAAUACACUUCAAAAUACUACAUUAGUAGUAUCCAUGUUGGUGGCUCAGUAACAGCCAAGCCCAUGAGAUGGUGACACUUCAGGGAAAAGUGUAUUUUUCACAGUUCACAAUGUAAAAAUGAAAGAAAAAUGUUUGGGAAUUUUUCAGACUUGGUCGAAUUAGAAGUGACCAAAGAGAACCUUAAUCUCUGUUACUUAACACAGAAAACAAAACCAAUAAACUUACAUUAAGUUUGAGGCAUGAGAAAUCACACCAAACAGAUAUUAACAAAGAGUCCUCUCUAGAUACAGUUAAGACCUACUCAUAGGAAUAUUAACUGACUACCCUAGGAGUGCCACCACAAUCCAGAGCUAAAGCCUUGCAACCAGAAACAUCAGGAAACUCAGUGGAAGGGCAAACUGGCUACAGGAAAAAGAAUGGAAGUGGAAGCAGCUUUGAAGAAACAUUCUAUGCCAAACUUCAGUUAAGAUCAAAGAGCUAAGGAACAACUCCUUUACCCAACAGGCUGCCAGUGGGCUAAGCAAUUCUCUACUGCAACACUUUGUCCAGAAAUACCAACCUGAGCACCAACAAUCAGCAAGUUCGGAAUCAUAUCAUUGUUUAAUUGUGCAGCCAACAAAGCCAGACUUUCAAUACUGUGGGGCUACAGCGGGUCAAGCAGACUUCCAACCCCAGGAAACAACCCCUGAGCAUACAAUUAUUACCUGGUGUAACUUGAGUCACCAGUGAUCUUGUCUGGGUCUGCACGGGUGUUAAGUUUGUUGUUACCACAGCUGAUGCUGUCACCGAUGUUACUGCACGAACCCCCUGCGUAGAUGCUAUGGUCACCAGCUCUGUGGAGGCCGCAGGUGCUGCCGCCGCUCGCUGCUGGGUAUGCACCACUUGUGCAGCUGCAGUGCCUCCCGAAGUCUGAAGAGGAACACAGUCACAGUCAUUACUCCACACAGUCUUCAUAUCUCAUAUAAAGCUAUGAACUUCCUGGAUAUAGAUUAUAUGGUUUUGAAAUCAACAUGAGAAAUAAAGCAAAAAAAUCCAAACCUUUCUAAUAAAUCUGUUUGAGUAUAUCUCACAGUUGGCAGCCGGUUAAAUCUUUGUCAGGCUGAUCACCCUCAACUAUCCAAGUUUGAUUUUACUACCUGUCAUUUUUUGCUUAACCUUCUGUAGCCUUACGACCUUAAAAUAAAGAUCACAAUUACCUGAGCAUAAAAUAUGAGAGGCUGGAAAUUAUACUGACAUCAACCAUUUCCUAAGAUAGUACUUUUCAAAAUGGUCUAUAGUUAAGCACUAUCUCUUAGGUACUUUAUUCUGAUAAUCCGUCCCAGUUUAUACUGGUAUUUUCCUAAGGGAGAGGAGUUGAUACAGAGUCACAAGGCACACGUGAAGUUAAUAAGGAGUGGAAUUUCUGAUAAGUAAUGCAGGAAACAGAUCCACCAAUACAAUGUGCAACCAAAACGAACCCAGAGAUACAACUGGUGUGCAAUCUACUCACAGUCAGUGUUCCAGGUAUAACAGGUGAAGCCAGACGUUUAUUGAUGGGCUGAAAGGUAGCUGCAGGGACUCCAGCAACAGUGUUCACUAUGACAUUCCCACUCACUGUAGCUGAAAGCAAAAAUCAGGAUUAAAAUUGAUAUUGUAAAAAAAA